GACGUCCAACAGCUAGCGCAUUAAACCAAUCACAAUAUACCCCCUAUAAAUAACCCCUAACACACUAAGACUUAAUUAAGCAAACCAUUUUUCCCCCCUAGUAUGGGAGACAGAAAAGGAACAAAGAAGCAAUAGAAAAAGUACCGCAAGGGAACGCUGAAAAAGAAAUGAAAUAACCCAGUAAAACUUUAAAAAGCAGAGAUUAACCCUCGUACCUUUUGCAUCAUGAUUUAGCCAGUGUAACUCAGGCAAAGAGCACUUUAGUCUGUUUACCCGAAACUAUAUGAGCUACUCCAAGACAGCCUAUUUAUAGGGCAAACCCGUCCCUGUGGCAAAAGGGUGGGGAGAGCUUUGAGUAGAGGUGAAAAACCUACCGAAUAUAGUUAUAGCUGGUUGCCCGAGAAUUGAAUAGAAGUUCAGCCCCUCCGUUCCUCUCUUCAUCUUCGUUUACCCUAACUGAUAUCAAAGGAACUGAGGGAGUUAGUCAAAGGGGGUACAGCCCCUUUGAAUUAAGACACAACUUUUUAAGGAGGAUAAGGAUCAUA
rnacentral:rRNA from 1 species